rnacentral:lncRNA from 10 species
CAGCAAAGAGCCCUUUUGAGAGACACAGAAAUGGAAAGCACGUAUUAAGGAUGUGGAGCUACCCCAGCAGCCCUGACCUGCUGACCUCCAGACUGUGACAUGGAAACAGAUCAACUUCUCUCUUGGCAUUAAGUCUGACACUGGGGACAUCAAAACGGAUAACACAUGGCCCUGGAUCUCAAGGAACCUGCCGCCUGAUGGAAAAUAAAAGAGAGAGUCA